rnacentral:rRNA from 1 species
GCUGACGAGUGGCGGACGGGUGAGUAAUGUCUGGGAAACUGCCUGAUGGAGGGGGAUAACUACUGGAAACGGUGGCUAAUACCGCAUAACGUCGCAAGACCAAAGAGGGGGACCUUCGGGCCUCUUGCCAUCAGAUGUGCCCAGAUGGGAUUAGCUUGUUGGUGAGGUAACGGCUCACCAAGGCGACGAUCCCUAGCUGGUCUGAGAGGAUGACCAGCCACACUGGAACUGAGACACGGUCCAGACUCCUACGGGAGGCAGCAGUGGGGAAUAUUGCACAAUGGGCGCAAGCCUGAUGCAGCCAUGCCGCGUGUAUGAAGAAGGCCUUCGGGUUGUAAAGUACUUUCAGCGGGGAGGAAGGUGUUGUGGUUAAUAACCACAGCAAUUGACGUUACCCGCAGAAGAAGCACCGGCUAACUCCGUGCCAGCAGCCGCGGUAAUACGGAGGGUGCAAGCGUUAAUCGGAAUUACUGGGCGUAAAGCGCACGCAGGCGGUCUGUCAAGUCGGAUGUGAAAUCCCCGGGCUCAACCUGGGAACUGCAUUCGAAACUGGCAGGCUUGAGUCUUGUAGAGGGGGGUAGAAUUCCAGGUGUAGCGGUGAAAUGCGUAGAGAUCUGGAGGAAUACCGGUGGCGAAGGCGGCCCCCUGGACAAAGACUGACGCUCAGGUGCGAAAGCGUGGGGAGCAAACAGGAUUAGAUACCCUGGUAGUCCACGCCGUAAACGAUGUCUACUUGGAGGUUGUGCCCUUGAGGCGUGGCUUCCGGAGCUAACGCGUUAAGUAGACCGCCUGGGGAGUACGGCCGCAAGGUUAAAACUCAAAUGAAUUGACGGGGGCCCGCACAAGCGGUGGAGCAUGUGGUUUAAUUCGAUGCAACGCGAAGAACCUUACCUGGUCUUGACAUCCACAGAACUUUCCAGAGAUGGAUUGGUGCCUUCGGGAACUGUGAGACAGGUGCUGCAUGGCUGUCGUCAGCUCGUGUUGUGAAAUGUUGGGUUAAGUCCCGCAACGAGCGCAACCCUUAUCCUUUGUUGCCAGCGGUUAGGCCGGGAACUCAAAGGAGACUGCCAGUGAUAAACUGGAGGAAGGUGGGGAUGACGUCAAGUCAUCAUGGCCCUUACGACCAGGGCUACACACGUGCUACAAUGGCGCAUACAAAGAGAAGCGACCUCGCGAGAGCAAGCGGACCUCAUAAAGUGCGUCGUAGUCCGGAUUGGAGUCUGCAACUCGACUCCAUGAAGUCGGAAUCGCUAGUAAUCGUGGAUCAGAAUGCCACGGUGAAUACGUUCCCGGGCCUUGUACACACCGCCCGUCACACCAUGGGAGUGGGUUGCAAAAGAAGUAGGUAGCUUAACCUUCGGGAGGGCGCUUACCACUUUGUGAUUCAUGACUGGGGUGAAGUCGUAACAAGGUAACCGUAGGGGAACCUGCGGUUGGAUCACCUCCUUACCUUAAAGAAGC